rnacentral:sRNA from 1 species
CCCUAGCCUUGAUGGGAACGGCAUCUCCUGAUUUAGUAAAACAAGGCUUUUUUGCCGUAGUUUUUGUUAAUCGGGAAUAUAGUGGACAGCAAGACACGAG